CCCUACACUGAUCUAGGUGGAUGGGGUGCGGCGCUGGACCGGGGUUGUGUCCGGGCUCUUCGCGUGGAGCUGCCGCCUCCUCGCUGCCCCCUUGCUUCCCCCCGGGCCAGUCUCUCUGCUGCCGCCGUCCGGGAGAGGAGGCGAGUGGCUCGGGCCGCGGCCCCCGCUCCUCGCUCCCUCUCAUACACUCGGGCACCGGGCGCUGCUGGGGCCCCGGCCAGGCAGCGCAGGGAACCCAGGUGGCCGGGCUCAGCGCCGCUCCCACUCUGGUCUCAGAGCGAUUGGUUCGGGAGAAGAGAGGGGAAGAGGCUGUAGAUCGUUCUUUGUGUGGUUGGGGAUGGCGUCGUUGCGGUUGGCCAAUCGGGUGAUUAGAGGCAUGGUAAGCGCGUGAUUUUUCUUUUUGUCCAAUUAGAUUGCUAGCAUGUAUGAUGUUAGCCUGCAUGAUUGGUUCUUAUGUAACCAGACUUAACUAUAUAAGGGGGUAGUAGAAAAGAAUAAAGGAGAUUCCUGACUUGUUUGCA